CACAUUGCUGAAGCUGCUUAGGA
rnacentral:piRNA from 1 species